ACGUUGCAUCCGAAGCGGCCCUGUGUGUUAUGUAAGGUGCUCGCUCCCAAUAAGGAUGCACGGCGCGCGCGAAUUGCCAGCCAGCCUCCCGGGCGAGUGAGUUCCUCUUUGGCCGCUCUCCUCCUCCGAGGACCUUGAGCUCCAAUUAGAAGCGGGUGUGGAGCUUCUCUGGGGUCGGGGGACGCAUUGGGAAGGAGUCUGUCGGCUGGGGAGAUGGAGAGGGGCGAGAGGGUGCCUUCCACGUUGCCAAAGGACCCGGGAAGAGGUGCAAUAUCUCCCCCUGCUUCCCAGUGAGCCCUUGUCCUGCAGAGCUCUCUUCUCCAGGGCAGUCUUGCAUCUGUCCUGCAGUGCUAGAUCCAUAGAGGAAGACGUACUGGAGACACAAGUACAGUGACUGUUCUGGGGAAGCAAUGGAUGUUGGCUGAGAUCGUGAUUAUUUCCAGCAGGAACAAGGAAAAUACAACGCAGCUGGGGAAAGCAAUGGUUGUCCGUCCUGUGCAGCUGGAGUCAUUAAUACAAUGGCAUCAGAGCAGUGUCUUGCCUAAUGGAUAAUCUGUCCUAAUGGGACACAGUAUUUGGAGAGAAUUACUUUUGAUAGUUGGAACCCUAUCUAUACUGAUGUAAAAUGACAUUUGCCACUCAAUGGCGCCAUCACAAACUGAUGUGGAUGGUUCCUAUAGAUCAUGGAUAAAUACUGAAGGAAAGCAUUUUUGCUGAAGUGUGUAAAGGAGAAAACAUGUUGCAUUCCAUGUCAAUUUUGCGCUUCUGCUUUCACGUGGACCACAGAUAUUUCCCUUGAUAUACAAGAAUGUGUUCUUUCAUUACCAUACUUAGUAUCCUUCUUUGGAUGUAAAGAAGACAAAAAUAUAUGUUUUUUCUGCAGACUAUGGAAAGCUAUGUAAGUCCUUCAACUGGGGUUUACUCCAUGCCAAAGCUAAACAAACCCUUUAACUAGUUGGAACCUGCUGUAUCAACCAACAUUUUUCUAACUAAAGGUUCUUAUGGAA